CCUACGGGGGGCUGCAGUGGGGAAUAUUGGACAAUGGGGGGAACCCUGAUCCAGCCAUGCCGCGUGUGUGAAGAAGGCCCUCGGGUUGUAAAGCACUUUCAGUGAGGAAGAACGCCUGGUGGUUAAUACCCAUCAGGAAAGACAUCACUCACAGAAGAAGCACCGGCUAACUCCGUGCCAGCAGCCGCGGUAAUACGGAGGGUGCGAGCGUUAAUCGGAAUUACUGGGCGUAAAGCGCGCGUAGGUGGCUUGAUAAGCCGGUUGUGAAAGCCCCGGGCUCAACCUGGGAACGGCAUCCGGAACUGUCAAGCUAGAGUGCAGGAGAGGAAGGUAGAAUUCCCGGUGUAGCGGUGAAAUGCGUAGAGAUCGGGAGGAAUACCAGUGGCGAAGGCGGCCUUCUGGACUGACACUGACACUGAGGUGCGAAAGCGUGGGUAGCAAAUAGGAUUAGAUACCCUUGUAGUC
rnacentral:rRNA from 1 species